rnacentral:rRNA from 1 species
AGACUGAACGCUGGCGGCAUGCCUAACACAUGCAAGUCGAACGGGAGUAGCAAUACUCUAGUGGCGGACGGGUGAGGAAUACGUAGGAAUUUGCCCUUAAGUGGGGGAUAACCCGGGGAAACCCGGAUUAAUACCGCAUGACCUCGAAAGAGCAAAGUGGGGGAUCGCAAGACCUCACGCUUUUGGAGGAGCCUACGUCGGAUUAGCUAGUUGGUGAGGUAAUGGCUCACCAAGGCGACGAUCCGUAACUGGUCUGAGAGGAUGAUCAGUCACACCGGAACUGAGACACGGUCCGGACUCCUACGGGAGGCAGCAGUGGGGAAUAGUUGGACAAUGGGCGCAAGCCUGAUCCAGACAAGUGCCGCGUCGUGUGAAGAGCCGUUGGUUGUAAAGCGUACUUUAAGUAGGUAAGAAAAACGUUCGACGUACGUAAC